rnacentral:ncRNA from 1 species
CUUCAGGGCAGGGUGAGCCACUCAUGGCAAUUCCCGACCGGCGGUUAUAGUCCGCGAAACCUUCGGGUUUGAUUUGGUGAAACUCCAAAACCGACAGUAUAGUCUGGAUGGAAGAAGU